GAUGAAGAACGUAGUGAAAUGCGAUACUUGGUGUGAAUUGCAGAAUCCCGUGAACCAUCGAGUCUUUGAACGCAAGUUGCGCCCGAAGCCAUUAGGCCGAGGGCACGCCUGCCUGGGCGUCACACGUCGUUGCCCCCCCAUCUACUCCUUCGGGAUUGCGGGGGGCGGAUGAUGGCCUCCCGUGCGCCUCGUCGCGCGGUUGGCAUAAAUACCAAGUCCUCGGCGACGCACGCCACGACAAUCGGUGGUUGCGAAACCUCGGUUGCCCGUCGUGUGCGGUCGUCGCGCAUCGAGGGCUCGAAAAAAUUGCCGGGCUCCGGCUCGGCUUUCAACGCGACCCCAGGUCAGGCGGGGUUACCCGCUGAGUUUAAGCAUAUCAAUAAGCGGAGGA
rnacentral:misc_RNA from 1 species